rnacentral:lncRNA from 1 species
GCAGUAGCAACUGGAUUUGCAGCAGAAACACUCUGCUACAGAACAAGUGUCUUGGUUCACAGCAAAGAGGACAAAGAAAACAGCAAGUUUUAGGGGGUUGAAUCCUGGAUUAUGCCACUGUUGCUGGAGAAAUGUCACUGCUAGAGAAUGGAAGACUAUUAUUCCAAAGGGUAUUUGAGACUGACUGAAUCAGGUCUGGAACAUUAUUGAAAUGCCUCUGUGAUGCUGUUAAAGCAGAUUCCUGGGCACCAUUCCUAAAGACUCCGAUUGGACUGAAUGCAAGAGCCAUUCUCACUGGGAUGCCACAGCUCUGGAGACUUCUCAUAGAUGGUGUUUGGAACACUCCAGGCUUGCAGAUGGGCCUUUAG